rnacentral:lncRNA from 1 species
GAAGGAAUAAACAUUCAUUAAAUAAUUUAAUGAAUGAAUAAUUGAAGGAAUUAAUUUGAAUGUACAAUGAUUUUAUAUUAUAUAGUAGCUACAUCUAUAUGAUAUGAAUUGAAGUGUGACACUUCAAUGGUAACUAUAUAAUAUAGGUAGUAUUUGAAUAUAUAGGUAUAAAUGCAUGUAUGUUAGCAUUAUGUAUAAGUGAGAUAAUAAAAUGUAACAUGUGCAAUAGAUCACUUCCAUGACCAUGUUAUAAGAUGUAAUAUUGAGAAUAAUAUUAUUUUGUGAGAUUAUAUUAUUAUAAGCUUGUGGACUAUUAAUUACUAAGUUCAUAUAAUUAUGUCUUGUGUGGCAUAACUAGUGAAGUUAAAUCAAAUGGGGAUUUAAUGGGAAAAUAAAUGGUGAGUUCAUAAAUAAUUGAUAUUAAUUAUCAUUAUGAUAAUUGGGUAUAUUUGAGAUGAUAAAUUUUACGAAAAACAAUAUUGGUGCCCAACUAAGUUAUAUUAUAGUCUAAUGUAAAUAUUAUUUGGAAUAAUCAAAUGUAUAUAGAUUAUAUAAUUCUAUGUGAGUGGGUGUAUAUGUAUGCACAUUUGGGAAAAAUAUCAAAUAAACCUAAAUAUGCUAAUAGUAAUAUGAAAUGCUGAGUUUUAAGAGUAGUGUCCUAAAUUGAGAGUCAUUCUUCAUUCACGUGAAAUGCAAAAAGGCUAGAAGCUAGCUUGCUUCUUCUUCUCCAAAAUCCAAAGCUUCUAAAUGAUGAAGAGGGGAGUGGGUUGAUUUGAUUUUCCACCAAACUCCUUCAAUCCAAUGGCUUCUUCUUCUUCCUCUUGGUUUAGAUUGUUGGGCAAAAUCAUUAUAUGGACAAUGAUUUCUCUAUAAAUGGGAACUCAUCCUGCUCAUUUCACUUUGCUGAGUUAUUUUGGUAAGAUUCUUAUUAAGAGUGAGUUGACAUUAGUGAGAGCAAUCUGAGAUUGGAAGGUUGAAGAACAAUAGAUAGCCAAUCAAGCAUUAAGAAGGUAACAUCCCUCUAUGUGUUCUUAAAUUCAAGUUUUACAAGUUCUUAGAAAAAGUAGCUUUUGAGUCAUAAAAUUGAUGGCUAAGGAUUGUUAUAAUCCAUUAAUUGAUGCUAGACAUCGUUAAUAUGGUUGAAUACGAAAUCAACGAAAGUUAAACGAACAAAUUUGGUUUAGAAACGAAUUCGUAGUGAAUGAUUUCGCUAAAUUGACCAAAACAUGAACAUUUGCAUGAACAUGAGUUAUAGAUUCAUAUUUGGGUUAGUUAAUGUUUAUGUUAGUUGAUGGGUAUUAUAGUAUGUUGUAUUUCUAUGAAUUACAAAUCCAUAGAAUCGAAAACGGACUAAUUUGGACAUGUAUAACUCAAAUUAUGAAGGUUAGAAAGUAGUUUGGCUUGUUAUUUUAUAGUAGAGCAUGAAAUUGUGCAUUUACAGUAGCUAGGCCCGCCCCAGCGGGUUAUUUAUAGGGCAAGACCCCCGCCCCAGUGGGGGGUGGUCUGAUUACAAAGGUUGAAAAAAAUCUGACAGAACAUGGUUUACUAAAAUGGGCAUAACCUUUUUAUACGAACUCCGAUUGAGGAGAUUCAAGAUGAUCCAGAACGAGAACGAAUAGACCUAAAACUUUUGUUCUUUAAUGUUUUCAAUUUGAGGUCAUUAGGAAGGGUCAAAAUAGUCAUCUUUGUGACUAUUACGUAAUUGGAGGCCAUUGGAGGGCGUCGAGCGAGCACAUACGCAAGUAUAGUGUUCCCGACGAUGGAAUAUGUUAUUCUAAGUGAUGUAACAUGAAAAUGAAUGAUAUUAGACAUGACAUAUAAGAUUAACUUACUUAUAGUGGAAUGCUUUAUCAUGACUUCGUAUGUGUUUUCAAAAGAAACUUAAAGAUUUUUGAAAAUAAACAUUGACAAACCUUGAG